rnacentral:misc_RNA from 1 species
UCAAAACAGCGGACUUCGGUCCUCGCUGCACCCUUGUCUUUUGCGCACCGUAUUGUUUCCUCGGCGGGCUUGCCUGCCGGUUGGACAUCAUAAAACCUUUUUGUAGUUGCAAUCAGCGUCAGAAAAACAAUAAUUAUUA